UACAGAGGGUGCAAGCGUUGUUCGGAAUUACUGGGCGUAAAGCGCACGUAGGCGGCUUUGCAAGUUAGAGGUGAAAGCCCGGGGCUCAACUCCGGAAUUGCCUUUAAAACUGCAUCGCUAGAAUUGUGGAGAGGUAAGUGGAAUUCCGAGUGUAGAGGUGAAAUUCGUAGAUAUUGGGAAGAACACCAGUGGCGAAGGCGGCUCUCUGGACCGUAACUGACGCUGAGGCGCGAAAGCGUGGGGAGCAAACAGG
rnacentral:rRNA from 1 species